CAGGAUAAGAAGUUUCUUAAUUUGAAAAUUAUAAAUAUUAAGAUGGUCAUAAUUCUGUGUUUGUGGCAAAAUAAUCAUUUCCAUGGCAACCAACUGGGAUGUCUCAAGGAGAGGAUUAAGACUUCAGGAAAGGACUAAGCAAGAGGAGCAGAUGAAUAAUGAAAAUAAUCAUGAUCCUUAUUCUCAAUCAGAACAGAAGGAAUAUUAGGAUGAGAAUGUACGCUAUAGGUCUUUCGGAAUUUCUUCAGCCUUCAAAACAACUACUUCAGUUCAGUUUUCUAGGAGACCUCACCUACCCUAAGAUGCAGCUACUCCUAUACUGUAGACGUUGUAUAAACAAAAGGGGCAAGGGGAAGCCUAAUCAAAGCUCCAGAACAUUCCAAUCAGGUACAUGCCAAUUGUACGGAAAUACUCUCCAAUAGCAUCUUGGAAAGAGAUUUAGAGGUGUAUGUGAGUUUUUAUGUGUAGCACACUACAGGGCCAGAGUUAAACUAUUUUAUUGUGUUAAUUUACUUUUUUUGUAGCAAAAGUGGUAUAUAGGGAGUAGCUUAGAAAAGUGUAAGUUGGCAGGGCGCGGUGGCUCACGCCUGUAAUCCCAGCACUUUGGGAGGCCUAGGCGGGCGGAUCACCUGAAGUUGGGAGUUUGAGACCAGCCUGACCAAUAUGGAGAAGCCCCAUCUCUACUAAACAUGCAAAAUUAGCUGGGCAUGGUGGCGCACACCUGUAAUCCCAGCUAUUCGGGAGGCUGAGGCAGGAGAAUCGCUUGAACCCGGGAGGUGGAGGUUGCGGUGAGCCCAGCCACGCCAUUGCACUCCAGCCUGGGCAACAAGAGCAAAACUCUGUCUCAAAAAAAAAAAAGAAAGAAAAAAAGAAAGAAGGAAGGAAGGGGAAAGAGAAAGAAAGGAAGGAAGGAAGGAAGGAAGGAAGGAAGGAACGGAGGGAGGGAGGGAGGGAGGGAGGAAGGGAGGCCGGGCGCAGUGGCUCAAGCCUGUAAUCCCAGCACUUUGGGAGGCUGAGGCGGGCGGAUCACGAGGUCAGGAGAUCCAGACCAUGCUGGCUAACAUGGUGAAACCCCGUCUCUACUAAAAAUACAAAAAAAUUAGCCAGGCAUGGUGGCGGGUGCCUGUAGUCCCAGCGUGAACCCAGGAGGCGGAGCUUGCAGUGAGCUGAGAUCGCGCCACUGCACUCCAGCCUGGGCAACGGAGAGAGACUCCGUCUCAAAAAAAAAAAAAAAAAAAAAGAAAGGAAGGAAAGGAAAGGAAAAGAAAAGAAGGAAAGAAAAGAAAGAAAGAAAGAAAGAAAGAAAGAAAGAAAGAAAGAAAGAAAGAAAGAAAGAAAGAAAGAAAGAAAGAAAAAGGAAAAGAAAAGAAAAGAAAGAGAAAGAGGUAAGCCAUUUGAAGAAUGGAUUUAAAUGAAGCACAGAUUAAAUAUGGACCACACUUUUCCUAUUAAAAAAACACUCUGGGCCAGGCGCGAUGGCUCACGCCUGUAAUCCCAGCACUUUGGGAGGCCGAGGUGGGUGGAUCAAGCGAUCAGGAAGGAGAUCGAGACCAUCCUGGCUAACACGGUGAAACCCCGUCUCUACUGAAAAAAAAAAAAAACUAGCCGGGAGUGGUGGUGGGCGCCUAUAGUCCCAGCUACUCGGGAGGCUCAGGAGAAUGGCGUGAACCCGGGAGGUGAAGCUUGCAGUGAACCGAGAUCACGCCACUGCACUCCAGCCUGGAUGACAGAGUGAGACUCCGUCCAAAAAAAAAAAAAAAAACCACACACACACACACACACACACACACACACUGAAUAAAUAAAAAGUUCAAAAGAAUAUUGAUGGAA
rnacentral:lncRNA from 1 species